UUGGUUGCUCCUAGUUGGAGUGUGUGCGAAUUCUCCAAUGAGAAUUUCGCCCAAUGAUGAUUGGGUCUACGAUGCGAGCGAGAGACGCUAUGCGUAGUGCGACGGGUUUAGACAGUAGGCCUACGUGGUGUUGGUGACCGCUGGUCUACCUGUGGAAGCCGACGUAAUCGGUUUAGCCGAUAACUCCGUGGAGGAGUUGGUGCAAGGGAAGUAGAUUCUCAAAAUGCGAGAGUUGGACUUCACUCAAAAUCGACUAAUUGUCGAGUGGGGGUGCUUCGUGAAAGCCGAAGAAGUUAAAUGCACCAAAAGUGCAUUACAAUGGAGUCCGCGAGAGCAAAUGGUGCAAGAUUCUGCACUUGGCAGAAUUGCUCUCGGGGACCGGUCCCUCCACCAGGGACCGGUUCCCGAACGUUGUCUACGCGAGCUUGCUCUCGGGGACCGGUCCCAGGAGGGAGGGACCGGUUGCCCCGAGGCUGAGGGCUGUGGCAAGCGCGAGGCAACCGGUCCCUAGGCCAGAGGGACCGGUUCCCGAACGCGUGAGAUUGAGGAGGUCCCUCUGGGACCGGUCCCAGGCAGGGAGAGACCGGUCCCCGAGCAUGAAAUUUGCCCAGGCAGGCUGGGUCAUGUUGGAGAGGUUGGAGAGCUUGAGGAUAAUGCUCUUUUAUGGAUUAAGAUUCGAGAUGUGCCGGAGUAGGCCAUCUCUUAAUAGAGCAAGGAUCCAAAUGCGAUUGGAGCACUCGCAGUGGGUCGAUGCACCAAUGAUGUUGCUUCUAAGCGAUAUUGGUGAUCGAAUUAGAGUGUGACCCCUAGAGGGAUAGUGAAAGUGACGAAGAGUCGUAAAUAAGAAAUACGAACUCUUGGAUAGCCAAAGUGGCGGAGCGCCGCUUUGUUGACACUCAGGUGAUUCGAGAGGGCUUACCCGUGUGUGCUGUGUCGUGGUGGUGGACCAUAUGACUAUUGGUGCGUUUUUGAUAGCUCCACACCAUGAGGAUAGCGGGUAGUCCCGGUCUCGAAGGAAGUGGUUUGGCCUUAGUGGGCCAAUUAGUGAAUGGUGU
rnacentral:lncRNA from 1 species